rnacentral:rRNA from 1 species
AUUGAACGCUGGCGGCAGGCUUAACACAUGCAAGUCGAGCGGGGUGAUGGUGCUUGCACUAUCACUUAGCGGCGGACGGGUGAGUAAUGCUUAGGAAUCUGCCUAUUAGUGGGGGACAACAUCUCGAAAGGGAUGCUAAUACCGCAUACGUCCUACGGGAGAAAGCAGGGGAUCACUUGUGACCUUGCGCUAAUAGAUGAGCCUAAGUCGGAUUAGCGAGUUGGUGGGGUAAAGGCCUACCAAGGGGACGAUCUGUAGCGGGUCUGAGAGGAUGGUCCGCCACACUGGGACUGCGGCACGGCCCAGAGUCCUACGGGAGGCAGCGGUGGGGAAUAUUGGACAAUGGGGGGAACCCUGAUCCAGCCAUGCCGCGUGUGUGAAGAAGGCCUUAUGGUUGUAAAGCACUUUAAGCGAGGAGGAGGCUCUUUUGGUUAAUACCCAAGAUGAGUGGACGUUACUCGCAGAAUAAGCACCGGCUAACUCUGUGCCAGCCGCCGCCGUAA